rnacentral:rRNA from 1 species
UACGAAGGGUGCAAACGUUGCUCGGAAUCAUUGGGCGUAAAGCGCACGUAGGCGGCUAUCUAAGUCGGAUGUGAAAUCCCUCGGCUUAACCAAGGAAGUGCAUCCGAAACUGGAUAGCUUGAGUACUGAAGAGGAUCGCGGAAUUCCCGGUGUAGAGGUGAAAUUCGUAGAUAUCGGGAGGAACACCAGUGGCGGAAGGCGGCGAUCUGGGCAGAUACUGACGCUGAGGUGCGAAAGCGUGGGGAGCAAACAGG